rnacentral:rRNA from 1 species
AACGAACGCUGGCGGCAUGCCUAACACAUGCAAGUCGAACGAGACCUCCGGGUCUAGUGGCGCACGGCGGCGUAACGCGUGGGAACCUGCCCUUAGGUUCGGAAUAACUCCCCGAAAGGGGUGCUAAUACCGGAUAAUGUCUACGGACCAAAGAUUUAUCGCCUUUGGAUGGGCCCGCGUUGGAUUAGCUAGUUGGUACGGUAAAAGCCUACCAAGGCGACGAUCCAUAGCUGGUCUGAGAGGAUGAGCAGCCACACUGGGACUGAGACACGGCCCAGACUCCUACGGGAGGCAGCAGUGCGUAAUCUUGGACAGUGGGCGAAAGGCUGAACCAGCACUGCCGGGUGAGUGAUGAAGGCCUUAGGGUUGUAAAGCUCUUUUACCCGGGAUGAUAAUGACAGUACCGGGAGAAUAAGCACCGGCUAACUCCGUG